AAACUUUCAACAACGGAUCUCUUGGUUCUGGCAUCGAUGGAGAACGCAGCGAAAUGCGAUAAGUAAUGUGAAUUGCAGAAUUCAGUGAAUCAUCGAAUCUUUGAACGCACAUUGCGCCCUCUGGUAUUCCGGAGGGCAUGCCUGUUCGAGCGUCAUUU
rnacentral:rRNA from 2 species